AGCGAACGCUGGCGGCGUGCCUAACACAUGCAAGUCGAACGUGAAAGGGAGCAAUCCCAAGUAAAGUGGCGUACGGGUGAGUAACACGUAGGUAAUCUACCCCAGAAUCUGGAAUAACCGGCCGAAAGGCUGGCUAAUACUGGAUAGAGCGACGGAAUCCGUAAUUGGGUUUUUCGGGAAAGGGAGCCUGUAAAAAGGCCUUCGUUCUGGGAUGAGCCUGCGUCCCAUCAGCUAGUUGGUGAGGUAAAAGCUUACCAAGGCAAUGACGGGUAGCUGGUCUGAGAGGACGAUCAGCCACACUGGAACUGAUACACGGUCCAGACUCCUUCGGGAGGCAGCAGUGGGGAAUCUUGCGCAAUGGACGGAAGUCUGACGCAGCAACGCCGCGUGAGUGAAGAAGGCCUUCGGGUUGUAAAGCUCUGUCGAGUGGGACGAAAAUGCUUGGAGUUCACAGCUCCAGGAACUGACGGUACCACUAAAGGAAGCACCGGCUAACUCCGUG
rnacentral:rRNA from 1 species